rnacentral:tRNA from 1 species
GGUGGGAUGGCCGAGUGGUCGAAGGCGCGCGACUCGAAAUCGCGUAAUCCCUUAGGGGGUUCCAGGGUUCGAAUCCCUGUCCCACCGCCA